CCUACGGGAGGCUGCAGUGAGGAAUAUUGGUCAAUGGCCGGAAGGCUGAACCAGCCAUGCCGCGUGAAGGUCAGUGCCCUAUGGGCGUUAAACUUCUUUUGUUCGGGAGCACUAAUGGUCACGUGUGGCCAGACGAGAGUACCGUACGAAUAAGCAUCGGCUAAAUCCGUGCCAGCAGCCGCGGUAAUAAGGGGGAUGCAAGCGUUAUCCGGAUUUAUUGGGGUUAAAGGGAGCGGAGAGGGGUUGUUAAGUCCGUGGGGAAAGUUUGCGGCUCAAACGUAAUAUUGCAAUUGAUACUGGCAGUCUUGAGUACAGUUGAGGUAGGCGGAAUUCGUGGUGUAGCGGUGAAAUGCUUAGAUAUCACGAAGAACUCCGAGUGCGAAGGCAGCUUACUAAACUGCCACUGACAUUGAUGCUCGAAAGUGUGGGUAUCAAACAGGAUUAGAUACCCGAGUAGUC
rnacentral:rRNA from 1 species